rnacentral:rRNA from 1 species
UAGGGAAUCUUCGGCAAUGGGGGGAACCCUGACCGAGCAACGCCGCGUGAGUGAAGAAGGUUUUCGGAUCGUAAAGCUCUGUUGUUAAGGAAGAACGAGUGUGAGAAUGGAAAGUUCAUGCUGUGACGGUACUUAACCAGAAAGGGACGGCUAACUACGUGCCAGCAGCCGCGGUAAUACGUAGGUGGCAAGCGUUGUCCGGAUUUAUUGGGCGUAAAGCGAGCGCAGGCGGUCAAUUAAGUCUGAUGUGAAAGCCCCCGGCUCGACCGGGGAGGGUCAUUGGAAACUGGUUGACUUGAGUGCAGAAGAGGAGAGUGGAAUUCCAUGUGUAGCGGUGAAAUGCGUAGAUAUAUGGAGGAACACCAGUGGCGAAGGCGACUCUCUGGUCUGUAACUGACGCUGAGGUUCGAAAGCGUGGGUAGCAAACAGG